AAGUAUUUAAUUAGCAAGCCACAUGUGACCACAGAAUCAAUCCGACUUUCUUGUAUAUGGUGAUGUAACUGUAUAUGGUGAUGUAACUCCAUAAGAUUUAGGCUAUCAUUAUUUUUCUGCCAAAUGCCUAUUAGAUGAUUUUUAACUUUCUCCCCAUGCCAUUGAGAAGCAUUAUUUUUUUUCUGUAACACAAAUAUAUAUAUUUGGUUAGUUAGUUAGUUAGCAUAGGAAUGAAGCUUUCAUCUAAAUUUAAGGGCAGCAAGUUUAUUUCCAAUAUUAAUAACAGUAGCUUCUAAGGCAUUUAACUUUGCUUUUAUCUUGUCAUCAAUAUUUGCUUGAUUUUGCAAAGUUUUGAAAUAUUCUGUGCUAAAUCAUCAACAAAUUAAGCAUCAUGUAUGCUACUGGAUAAAGCUAUAGCAGCAGCCAUGACAGAGACUAGAUAUAAAAGCAACUACUCCAACUGCUAUAAGACCAAGAGCACUGAGUAUUAAUCUGCUGUAGAACUUGAACUCCAGUAUGAUUGAAUCCAACUAAAUGGACAGGUCUAAUAUGUAUAUCUGAAGAGCCUCCCAUCAUGUGUGUGUGAUUAGUAAAUAUUGAUAUAGAUUCUCCAAUCCACACAGCUUGGGUGAACUAAAGGUGGAUCUGGAAAGUAAUUCCAGUAAGUUUCCCCAAGAACAUUACUUACCUGACAGCUUAGGAAAGCCAACAUGUCCACAUACACUGUGCCAGGAGAUUUUAUGUUUCCCUUUGAUUCACUAUCUGAUCAGUCGGAUGCAUCAGAUUCUUCGAUUGUUU
rnacentral:lncRNA from 1 species